AGCACCUUGCUGGCCCACCUGGACUGAGAAGCAUCAGAGUCGUGAUAGGGGUGGGCCCAGGAGAGCACACGGCCCCCGUGACCCUCACAGCCAGAGUUGGCGCUGUGGGUGGGAAUUGUAGGCAGAUUUCAGCCAGUUUUAGGGAGCAGCUUUUUUAGGGUCACUGCUGCCCAGCCAUGGAGUGAGCUCUGUGUCACUGGAGGUAUGCAAGCAGGGACGGGAGACGCACUUGUCAAGGAUAUGGUAGCAGGAAGUCUGGGUUAGACUAGAAGACCUCCUUUCUGUGCGGAUCUGAUUCCAGCAGGAAGCCACAGCCAGGUGGCCGAGGGCCAUGCUGGGCACCCAAGCAGCCCUGACUGGUGCUGUGGGUGGGCAGGCCCUCAACAUAUCAUUCUUGGAAGAGAACAUUAACACUCGUGAUGUUUCCACAUCUACCCUCACGGGACCCCAGGGAGUGGCGGCUGGGUGGGGAGGCUCACGACAGCAUCAUCCUUCCCACAUUCUGAGUGGCCCCUGAGCCCAGAUUCUUCUUUUCCAGCGAUAAGUUCACACGGUUUUGCCAGUGGAAGAAUGUGGAGCUCAACAUCCACGUGAGUGGGCUUGGGUGGGGCAUGGAAAGCCGUGCACCCUCCUGCUCCUCUCCCGGGAGCUGGGCUGGGAGCGGGGAGGUCAGGGGAUGUCUGUCCUUUAGCCUCCAGGGCCAUGGCUAUGGGGGUCAGGGCCGGGAUCCCAGCAUGGGGAGGCCAGAGCAGGUAAAUGUGUGGCGAGGAUGGCCAGGACAUGGGUAUGGGGACCCUGGCAUGGGGCCAGCCCCUGCUGCCCAGGUGCCUCUGCCCCGGGGCUGGGCAGAGGCAGCCUGUGGUGACCGCAGCUGUCGCUGCCCCUCAGCUGACCAUGAAUGACUUCAGCGUGCAUCGCAUCAUUGGGCGCGGGGGCUUCGGCGAGGUCUAUGGGUGCCGGAAGGCCGACACAGGCAAGAUGUACGCCAUGAAGUGCCUGGACAAAAAGCGCAUCAAGAUGAAGCAGGGGGAGACCCUGGCUCUGAACGAGCGCAUCAUGCUCUCGCUCGUCAGCACUGGGGACUGCCCAUUCAUUGUCUGCAUGUCAUACGCGUUCCACACUCCAGACAAGCUCAGCUUCAUCCUAGACCUCAUGAACGGUGGGGACCUGCACUACCACCUGUCCCAGCACGGGGUCUUCUCAGAGGCUGACAUGCGCUUCUAUGCGGCCGAGAUCAUCCUGGGCCUGGAGCACAUGCACAACCGCUUCGUGGUCUACCGGGACCUGAAGGUGAGCGCCCCUGCUGUCCACAGGCUGGACCUUCGUGGCUGUCCUCUCCUUCCUCUCGACAUCCCGGCCACCAGGCCCAGAGGAGUGGGGCUCCUGGGAUAUGGCCGCCCCGUGUCUUCCCAUCUCCGCCCCUGCCUUUCCCACCGAGCCACUCUCUGGGUCCAGGUUGUAGCUGGGGACAGGAGAGAGGACCCCACCUUUGCCCUUCCUUGGGGACCCAUCGUCCUCUCCAGUGAAGCAGUGACCCAGCUGGCAUCUUGCCUGGCUAGGCCCCAUCCUGAGCUGCCCCAGGCAGCUCACUGGGCUUCCUCCACAGCCGGCCAACAUCCUUCUGGACGAGCAUGGCCACGUGCGGAUCUCGGACCUGGGCCUGGCCUGCGACUUCUCCAAGAAGAAGCCCCAUGCCAGCGUGUGAGUGCCCCCCACCCUCUCCCUCCCCACCCCUUGCCACUCCCGCUCAUGGCCCCCUUGCUCUCACAGGGGCACCCACGGGUACAUGGCUCCAGAGGUCCUGCAGAAGGGCGUGGCCUACGACAGCAGUGCCGACUGGUUCUCUCUGGGAUGCAUGCUCUUCAAGUUGCUGCGGGGGCACAGCCCCUUCCGGCAGCACAAGACCAAAGACAAGCAUGAGAUCGACCGCAUGACGCUGACGAUGGCCGUGGAGCUGCCCGACUCCUUCUCCCCUGAAUUACGCUCCCUGCUGGAGGGGUUGCUGCAGAGGGAUGUCAACCGGAGACUGGGCUGCCUGGGCCGAGGGUGAGUGCCCUGGCGCCUUGGGCAUGCUGCUCGCUGUGCCCCCGUGAGGACAAGGGCUGUGUCCCAUCACCUGGAACCCCCUCCAAGGUCCCAGCCUCCUUGGAGGAGCUCAUAAGUUGGGGCAUGGCCAGCCCUGUCCAAUGUUCUCAGGGUGGAGGGGCUGCCCUGGCGGUUGGAGCUGCUGGAACCAGCUGGUAACUGGCUUCCAGAGGGGCCCUUGUCACAGAUGAUGAUGAUAGCAGCUUUUUAUGUUUAUUGAACAUUUAUUAAGCACUGGGCAUAGGGUUGCAAAAUUUACCAGUGUUAAAACCCACAACCCUAUGAUGUAGGAACUUCUAUUCUCCCAUUUGAAAGAUGAAGAAACAGCUCAGGCUUAAGGAACUUGCCCAAGUUCACAGAGCCAGAAAGUGGCUCAAUCAGGAGUUAAGCCCAGGACUCAGGGUGGGGCUGAGCCCAGAUGACUGGCCUCUCCCUACAGGGCUCAGGAGGUGAAAGAGAGCCCCUUUUUCCGCUCCUUGGACUGGCAGAUGGUCUUCUUGCAGAAGGUAACAGUCUGCGGCAGGGACUCGGGGUACUCUGCAGCCCCACCCCCGAGCUAAUGCCCAUGAUCCUUGUUCUGCUGCAGUACCCUCCCCCGCUGAUCCCCCCACGAGGGGAGGUGAACGCAGCCGACGCCUUCGACAUUGGCUCCUUCGAUGAGGAGGACACAAAAGGAAUCAAGGUACUGGGCUUUGCCUGGCCUCUUUUACCUGGGCUGUGAUCCUGGCCUGGGGGAGGAUCCCUCUCCCUUCUAAUCACCUGUGAGACCCUGUGCCAGCCCUGCCAGCUUGUAGGCCUCAGCUCCUCCUCGGCCAGCUUCCCUGGGGGUGGCAGUUGCACUGACCAUCCCUACCCACGGCCCUGGGUCUGGGCAGCCUGUGGCUUAUGGUAUUCUGGCAUCUCUGUCCGUCCAUGUGUCCCUGCCCCAUCCACCUGGUAAAGUUACUGGACAGUGAUCAGGAGCUCUACCGCAACUUCCCCCUCACCAUCUCGGAGCGGUGGCAGCAGGAGGUGGCAGAGACUGUCUUCGACACCAUCAAUGCUGAGACAGACCGGCUGGAGGCUCGCAAGAAAGCCAAGAACAAGCAGCUGGGCCAUGAGGAAGGUGAGGGCCGCUGCGGCACCAGGCCCCUGCCUGCUUAGAAGUGAGCAGCUGGCUCGGGUUUAAGGAACUCGCCCUGGAUCACAGCCAGAAAGUGGCGGCUCUGGGAUUGAAACUCAGGCUGGGGCCCGGCGUGGUGGCUCACACCUGUAAUCCCAGCACUUUGGGAGGCCAAGGAGCGCAGAUCACUUGAGGUCAGGAGUUUGAGACCAGCCUGGCCAACAUGGUGAAACCCUGUCUCUACC
rnacentral:sRNA from 1 species